AGCGGCGGACGGCUGAGUAACACGUGGGUAACCUGCCCAUAAGACUGGGAUAACUCCGGGAAACCGGGGCUAAUACCGGAUAACAUUUUGAACCGCAUGGUUCGAAAUUGAAAGGCGGCUUCGGCUGUCACUUAUGGAUGGACCCGCGUCGCAUUAGCUAGUUGGUGAGGUAACGGCUCACCAAGGCAACGAUGCGUAGCCGACCUGAGAGGGUGAUCGGCCACACUGGGACUGAGACACGGCCCAGACUCCUACGGGAGGCAGCAGUAGGGAAUCUUCCGCAAUGGACGAAAGUCUGACGGAGCAACGCCGCGUGAGUGAUGAAGGCUUUCGGGUCGUAAAACUCUGUUGUUAGGGAAGAACAAGUGCUAGUUGAAUAAGCUGGCACCUUGACGGUACCUAACCAGAAAGCCACGGCUAACUACGUGCCAGCAGCCGCGGUAAUACGUAGGUGGCAAGCGUUAUCCGGAAUUAUUGGGCGUAAAGCGCGCGCAGGUGGUUUCUUAAGUCUGAUGUGAAAGCCCACGGCUCAACCGUGGAGGGUCAUUGGAAACUGGGAGACUUGAGUGCAGAA
rnacentral:rRNA from 2 species